AUCGCUUCUCAGCCGUUUGGCUAAGAUCAAGUACAGUAUGUGUUCUUAUCAGUUUAGUAUCUGACACAUCCUCUAUCCAAGGACAAUACAUUAAAUGGAUUUUUGGAGCAGGGAUAUGGAAUAAGAGCUUGCUCCUUCCACUCUACACAUCAAUCUGGCAUUCCAGUACCUCCAGGAAUGGUGCACCCGCC
ensembl:snRNA U2 U2 spliceosomal RNA